AGCUGAGGUGGUUGCUGGGAGAGGUGGUUGCUGGGAGAGCUGUUCCGGCGCUCACGUUCCAAUUCCAAAUUACAAAUUCCGAUCUAGAGCUCCCACGCUUGGGGGCUGUGGAGCGCUCGCCAGCCGCUCCCCGUUUGCUGCUGGGUCUUACGAAGUUCUCAUAUCCAUCAUACAGUUUCUUUGUCACACUGUCCGCGGCACGCCAGUCCCUAUGACAGAAAGCACCUGCGGUCUGUCUGGAGGCGGAGUUGGUGGCGGAGAGAAAAAGUUCUGGAGACACCUGGUUGGGAGCAGGCUAAGGAAACAAAUGGGGAGGAAUUAGCCACAAAUCCUCAAAUAGACAGCUACUCAAAGGCAUCUUCACGGACAAUUUCCAAGCAUUGGAUGCAGUGGUGCAUUCUUGCAUUGGGCAGUGAUUGUGUGCACACAUCUCUUUAAGGGAGAGUGGAAAUGGGGUGAGGAGGAAAAUGGGAGUAGGAUAGAGUGUAGCGUUGACAUUUAUUUUCUUUAAAGGAAGACCCGAGCAUACCUGAGAGCUCAGUGAAGAAAGUAGUUCUGGCGAAUCGGAUUAAUAUGGUAUGAUCAGCCUUUAGCAAGAUUCUAUCACUUUUCCCACUGAUGAUGUGAGACGGUGUCCGCGUGUGUAAGUGCACACACGUGUGUGUGUGUGUGUGUUGCAUCUUCUGAGUAUUUUUCAAGGAGAAGCUUUUUAGUGAUCUGAAAAAGUCAAUUCAGUUAGCCACUAGAGUUCAAUCAAAAACUUCGGAAGAGUGCAUCAUCUUAAAGUACAUAAGAGAGAAUCAUGACCUCCAGCUCAGAAUUCAAGAAUAGGCAGGUUUGUGAAAUAGUAAGCUCAGAAAGUUGAGGGCCAGUGAACUCCUAUUUCAAGUUCUUGCGGGUGUUUGUACUUUUUUCCCAGCACCACUGAAACUUGACCUUCGGCCGGCGCGGUGGCUCACGCCUGUAAUCCCAGCACUUUGGGAGGCCGAGAUGGGCGGAUCACGAGGUCAGAAGAUCGAGACCAUCCUGGCUAACACGGUGAAACCCCGUCUCUACUAAAAAUACAAAAAAAUUAGCCGAGCGUGGUGGCGGGCUCCUGUAGUCCCAGCUACUUGGGAGGCUGAGGCAGGAGAAUGGCGUGAACCCGGGAGGCGGAGCUUGCGGUAAGCCGAGAUCGCGCCACUGCACUCCAGCCUGGGCGACUGAGCACGACUCCGUCUCAAAAAAAAAAAAAAAAAAACAAAAAAAAAACUUGACCUUCAUUAUAUCUCACUGCCCUCAUCCCAAACAUUUCCUCUCCCAGUUUUCCAGGAAACGGCAUCGCUGCCCAUCUCUUUUCAGGCCCCAACCCUGGAGAAGAACCUAAAUUUCUCAUUUCCUCACUACCUACCUCCAGUCCUUCAGCAGGUCCCGUUGGUUGGGCUGCUAAACUAUGGGCUAAAUCCUUUCAGUACUUUCCAUGCCCACAGCUACCACUCUGGUCCAAGCCAAAUUCUUAGUUCCCCUGGACUUCUUACUGCAGUAGCCUCUCAGCUUCCACUCUUGGCAAAAUCAAUUUUAUAAAACCUUGAAAUCCCUUAAUACCACUCGUCUGCUUAAACCUCGGCAUCCCACAUUUACCACUAUCAGGAAGGAUCACGUUUGUUUGUUUGCUGUCUCAUUCCCCCAUUUAUAUGUGAAUUCCACGGGUAAGGGCCUGCUCCUACAUCCCACACCUCUACAUCCACAGAGCCUAGAGACCGCAGGCGCGGGGAAAGCACUCCACGACCAUCACUGGCCAGGCCACAAGAGUGCUGGAUCUAAAUUUGGAACCGGACUUUCAGAGCUGAAAUAAACCUGAGGUUUUCCAGGGGCUUUUAACCUCCUUUUACAGCCAAGGAUGCGCCUAAGAAAGGGGAGAGGCUUCCGUGACUUCCUGCAGUAACGCAGCCACUAGAGAUUGAGACUACAACGACUUGGGAGUCUAAAAGUCUGCAACCUUUUCCACUCCAGAGCUCAAUGUUUCCUCAAUCCCCCGGGAUCGGCAUCAGCAAAAACCCGGAGAAGCGGAGCCUUUCUCAAAGAAAAUGACCUCCAGACUCAUGCUACCAUCUCGACCGGUGCAAGUAUCACGCAUGCGCAGGGCCGGCCGCCCGGCCGCACCUCGCCAACUCCUACUCGGACACGUCAUCUAGUGCGUUUUGUUCAAUUCUUUGUUCAAAACCCCAAGAAUCUGGACAACUUGCACUCAAGACCCUCUACGGGUUUGGCGAGCCAGUCUUUCAGUGGCUGUUUUCUAGUAGCUCCUUGGCAAUUGAGGGGAACUGGCUGGGACCACUCUCCAGUGCUGUCUGAAGGCCAAGGAGUGAACAGGGAUGGCUGCCCUGCCUUGAAGAGGGAAGGACUCUUUUCUAUCCUUUCCAGCUAUAGUCCCUGAUCCCUACAUGUGAUGCGGUUGGCAGCGGAAGCUCAUCCUGGGCGAACUCACACACUUUUCAGGAGACUUAAACCUUUUCUUAUGCUAAGUUCUUCCCUUCCCCUACUCAUCUGGCUAAAGGACAGACUAUGCAAAAAAGGUUAUACAAGUCAGAGGGUCUGAGCAUGUCGGAGGUGGUCUGUGUGGGGCAUGGGGUGGGGGGAAAAUUCAUGAAAGGCAAUUUAUUGCCUAAAUUUAAAGGGUUAAAGGGUUGCUUUAAGUGGGAUAGAAAAACCUUAAGGAAAGUUCAUAGUAGGUCCUCAGUGGUGGAGUGUUGUGGGAAGUCAGGGACCCUGAAUGAAGGGACUGGCUGAAGCCAUGGCAGAAGAACAUAAACUGUGAAGAUUUCAUGGACAUUUAUUAGUUCCCCAAAUUAACACUUUUAUAAUUUCUUACGCCUGUCUUUACUGCAAUCUCUGAACAUAAAUUGUGAAGAUUUUAUGGACAUUUAUCACUUCCCCAAUCAAUACUCUUGUGAUUUCCUAUGCCUGUCUUUACUUUAAUCUCUUAAUCCCGUCAUCUUCGUAAGCUGAGGAGGAUGUAAGUCGCCUCAGGACCCUGUGAUGAUUGUGUUAACUGCACAAAUUGUUUGUAGAGCAUGUGUGUUUGAACAGUAUCAAAUCUGGGCACCUUAAGAACAGGAUAACAGCAACGUUCAAGGAACAAGGGAGAUAAUCUUAACGUCUGGCUGCCUAUGGGCCGGGCAGAACAGAGCCAUAUUUCUCUUCUUUCUAAAGCAAAUAGGAGAAAUAUCGCUGAAUUCUUUUUCUCAGCAAGGAACAGCCCUGAGACAGAGAAUGUGUGCCUAGGGGUAGUCCUCCAAAAUGGCCACUCUGGGGACGGCUGUCUUUUAUGGUCGUAGAUAAGGGAAGAAAUAAGCCCCGGACUCCCAUAGUGCUCCCAGGCUUAUUAGGACGAGGAAAUUCCCACCUAAUAAAUUUUGGUCAGACUGGUUGUCUGCUCUCAAACCCUGUCUCCUGAUAAGAUGUUAUCAAUGACAAUGCGUGCCCGAAACUUCACUCGCAAUUUUAAUUUCGCCCUGGUCAUGUGGUCCCGUGAUCUCACCCUGCCUCCAUUUGCCUUGUGAUAUUUUAUUACCUUGUGAAGCAUGUGAUCUCUGUGACCCACACCCUAUUCAUACACUCCCUCCCCUUUUGGAAAUCACUAAUAAAAACUUGCUGGUUUUACGGCUUAGGGGGCAUCACAGAACCUGCCGACAUAUGAUGUCUCCCCUGGACACCCAGCUUUAAAAUUUCUCUCUUUGUACUCUUUCCCUUUAUUUCUCAGACCAGCCAACACUUAGGGAAAAUAGAAAAGGACCCACGUGAAAUAUCAGGGGCUGAAUUUCCCCCGAUAGUGGAGGGAACCAUCCCAAAGCAGUGCCAGCCCCCAUCUAAGGUCAGAGACAUCUGACAGACUAAAUCAGGGCCCUAAAGUAGGGACGCCCCUGGGGACCCCAGUCUGGGUUCAGAAUUUUUUCAGGGGGAUGCCCUGGGUAAAGUUUGGGUCACCUAAUGGGCCCUCUACUUUUCAAAGUCCUCUUCUCUGUUCCAGACCACUAUGGGCAACUCUCUAUCUAUUCGACCUGAUUCCACUAUGGGCAAUUCUACACCUGUUCCACCGGAUUCCUCACUUGGCUACAUCAUCCACCAUUGGAAUCAAUUUGACCCUGACACUCUAAAGGGAAAAUGUAUAAUUUUUUUCUGUAAUACUGUUUGGCCCCAUUAUGAGCUGCCCAGCCCCCAGCAAUGGGCAGUCAGUGGUAGCCUUAAUUAUGACACCAUCCUGCAAUUAGACCUACUUUGCAAGAGGCUGGGAAGAUGGUCAGAAGUCCCAUAUGUACAGGCUUUUAUCAAAAUAUCAAAAACCUAACAAUCUGUGAAACUCCCAGAACCCACCCCCCAAAGGAAAGUACUAAGGCAGAACUAGAUAUUAUAGAUGACCCUCUUUUACAAGGGCUAGCUGUCUCUCAGGGUGAACAGCAACCAUCCCCAUAAAGCCCCUUGCCAAGUGCUCCUGAGGCUAAAACCCAGGAGCAAACACCAGGGACCCUACUAAAUCCCCCUCACACUUGGAGAGGAAUGCCAUAUUCAAUUCUCUCUCCAGCCCUGCUACCUCUUAGGGAAGUAGCAGGAACCAAGGGGCCAGUCCUAGUGCAGGCCCCCUUCUCUAUAAUUUAUACAUACAAUAUAAGGAAAAGCUAGGAAACUAUUCUGAGAAUCCUAAGAAACUUGCAGAUGGGUUCCAGCGUUUGACCUUAGCCUCUGAUCUAUCAUGGAGAGAUGUUCAAUUCAUUCUAGCAACCUGUUACACACCCUCAGAAAAGGAAUGAAUCUCUGAGGCCGCCCACCUGCAAGCAAUGAAUUAUUUGCCCAAAACUCUCAGGGCAAUCAUCCCGGCCCAGACACAGUUCCCACUAUUGAUCAUAAUUGGGACUAUAACACUCCUGAGGAAAUGAACAACCGGGCUAAAUUUCUUGAGGCUCUCCUUGGAGGAAUGAGAAAGGGAAUAACUAAAGGCAGUAAAUUAUGAUAAAGUAAGGGAGGUUACACAAGGCAAGGAGGAAAAUCCAGCCAUGUUUUAUGGCAGGCUGGAGGGAGACUUUAAAAAAUAUACUAAUCUGGACCCUUCCUCUCCCGAAGGCAAAAUAUUAAUAGCACAGCAUUUCAUUAGCCAAUCUGCCCCAGACAUUAGAGAUAAGCUCCAAAAGCUACAGAUGGGGCCACAAACUAAUCAAAAUCAGCUUACUUAUAUCACAUUUAUGGUGUAUAACAAUCGUGACCUGAAGGAAGGAAAAAGGGAACAGAGUAAACAAAAUGGCAAGCCAAAAGUAUGGCAGCCAUCAUUGACGAUGCCCUGAAUGUACAAAGAGUGUCUAAGGGAAACCCGAAGGGCCAUAAAGAUAAUGCCAGCAAAGGCUCUUGCUUCAAAUGCAAGAAAAGAAGACAUUGGGCAAAGGAUUGUGCUAAGUCCCCGCCAGGCCCCUGCCGUCAAUGCAAGGGCACCAGUCAUGACCCCUGGCACUGGAGAAUUGACUGCCCAUGUUCCCACUGAGGGGCUCAGUCAGUCAAAACUCUAGCAGUGCAAAAGGAGGAAUUAGAUGAAGACUGAAGGGGCCUGAGGUCUUCCUCACUGCCCCUGUUCAGGAACAUUGUAAUUACUACUGAGGAGCCCCAGGUAACUCUGGACGUCAUGGGCACCCAAAUUCAGUUUCUUUUUGAUGCAGGAGCAAAUUACUCUGUUCUUACUGCUUAUGCAGUAAGGCGUUCCUCCCAGUCCACAAGUGUUAUGGGAAUAGAAUGGAAGCCACAAACGAAUUCAUUACUCCUCCUUUGAUUUGUCAAUUUGAGAAACAACUCUUCCAACAGGAUUUCCUAGUAGUACCAAGCUGCCCAAUCCCCCUGUUGGGAAGAGAUAUUAUGGUUAAAAUGGAGGCACUACUACAAUUUAAGCAUCACCCAUUGAAAUUGCUGAUAGUCAAAAAUACAGUGUUCCAGACCACAUUAAUAAAUAGGUUAACCCGCUGGCAUUGGUAUACUGGAAAACCAGGGAAGGCUAAAACAGCAGUGCCAGUCAAAAUACAUUUUAAAGACCUCAGCUAGUUUCCCAAUUGAAAAUAAUAUCCAAUUAAGCAGGAAGCAAGAAAAGGCCUAGCACCCAUAAUUGAGGUAUUACUUAUUACAUGGGCUCUUAAAAUCCUGUAAUUCCCCUUGCAAUACCUGUUCUAAAGCCUUUGGGGGAAUACCAGUUAGUAUAGGACUGGAGAAUACCGGUUAGUAUAGGACCUGAGAAUAAUUAAUGAGGCUGUUAUCCCCGUCCACCCACUGGUGGCAGAUCCAUAUACCCUUAUGGCUCAGGUACAAGGGGAUGCAAAAUGGUUCUCAGUCCUGGACCUAAAAGAUGCUUUCUUCUCCAUCCCUCUGGCCCCAGAGUCCCAAUACCUUUUUGCCUUUGAAUGGGAAAAUCAAUAUGAGGGAAAAACAGUAAUAUACCUGGACAGUGCACCCUUAGGGCAUUCAGGAUAGCCCCCAUUGGAUUGCCCGAGCCUUAGAGAGGGAUCUGAAGGAUCUGAAAGUGAAAAAUGGGAAUAUACUCCAGUAUGUGGAUGACUUUCUUGUGUGUAGCCCAAACCCAGGAGGUUUCUGACCAAACUACUAUAAAAACUUUGAAUUUCCUGGCAGACAGGGGAUACAAAGUGUCCGACAAGAAGGCACAGAUUAUCCUCCAAUGGGUGCAAUAUUUAGGGUAUGUCUUAACACCCAGAGCCUGACAAAUAUCCCCAGAACGAGAGCAAGCCAUAGGUGGUUUGCCCCCUGCCCCCUCCCCAACCCCCCCACCUGCCACACCUAGUAGCAGCUUUGUUCUUUUUUGGGAAUGGCCAGGUUUUGCAGAAUAUGGGUACCAAAUUUCAGACUCAUAGCAAAGCCCCUAUAUGAAGCAACAAAGGGGCCUGAAGACGAGCUAAAGGAAUGAACCCCAGAAUUGAGAAAAGCCUUUGCCAAGUUAAAACAGGCUCUCGCUCUUGGCAUCCCAGACCUACCUAAGCCCUUCUCUUUGUACGUAGCAGAGAAGAAGGGCAUAGCUGUGGGUGUACUAGCCCAGACAUUAGGAUCAGAACCCAGACUAACCACUGACUUUCCAAAGAAGUUGGAUGGAGUGGCCUCGAGGUGACCAAGUUGCCUGCGGCCAACAGCAGCCACUGCUAUGUUAGUGGAGGAAGCCACUGAAAUCGCUCUGAGCCAACCACUGGAAGUUCUCACCCCCUCAUCAGGUUAAGUCUGUCUUAGAGAUAAAGGGACACAUCUGGAUGACAGGGGAAAGAUGAACCAAAUACCAGGCCAUGUUCCUAGACAAUCCAGAUGUAACCCUUAAAACCUGCAACACUUUGAAUCCAGCUUCAGUGCUGCCCACAGGCCCAAUAACUGAUCAUUCCUGCAAGCAGGUCAUUGCACAUACACAAUGUUAGCCAGCCUGCUUUAAAAGACAAGCCUCUCCCAGAUUCUGAGGAUGAGUGGUUCACAGAUGGCAGUAGUUUUGUGUCAAAUGGGGUUUGACACAGCACUGAGCUGGAUAUGCAGUAGUAAUUAUCGAAGCCCAGCCACUGCUCCUUGGCACAUCAGCACAAAAGGCUGAAAUCAUUGCUCUUACUUGAGCAUUAAUGUUGGUACAAGGAAAAAAGCUUAACAUCUAUAUCGAUUCUAAAUAUGCAUUCCUUGUGGUUCAUGUUCAUGCUACAGUCUGGAAAGAAAAGGGAUUUCUAACUAGAAAACAGUCCUCUAUAAAGCCUGGGCCUGAAAUUCUUCAGCUAUUGGAAGCAAUACACUUGCCAAAGGCCGUAGCUCUAAUUAAUUGUUGGGGUAUCAAAGGGACUUAACCCCUAUAGCACAAGGGAACAGAAAGGCUGAUAAAGAACCAAAGCCGCAUCCCUCAGGGUGCCAUCCCAACAGACCCUAGCCCUACUUCCUUUCUAUGAUUUCCCAACAGAACCUGAGUACACAGUACAGAAAGAACAGUUAAUAGAGGAACAAGGGGGACACAAAAAAAGGAUCCUGGUGGCAUAUGGGGUCAAAAACAUAUCUCCCUCAGACAGCCCAGUGGAAAGUUAUAAAAGCCGUGCAUGCCUCUUUCCAUGUGGGGAGGGAUGCAACUCUGGCCAUUUAAACCAGCUCUUUACUGGGUCUAACUUAGCUUCAGUGGCUAAGCAGGUUUGCUAGGCCUGCUCCCUGUGUGCACUUAACAACCUAGGAAACAACAUGCCUCCUCUAAUAGAACCAGUGCAGAGGAGAGGAACUUAUCCAGGGGGAGACUGGCAAUUAGACUUCACCCAUAUGCCAGCUUGCAGAGGACAUGAGUUUUUGUUAGUACUAAUAGAUAUCUUUACUGGUUGGGUCGAAGUUUAUCCUACCAGAACAGAGAAGGUUAAUGAGGCUAUAAAGGUUCUCUUAAAAGAAAUAAUCCCCGGGUUUGGGUUACCUCAGAGCCUCCAAAUUGAUAAUGGCCCGUCCUUUAUCUCCCAGCUAACUCAAGGGGUUGCUAAGUCUCCUGGAAUCAAGUACUAUCUACAUUCAGCAUGAAGGCCUCGAUCCUUGGGGAAAGUAGAAAGGGCUAACCAAACUUUAAAACGAGUGUUAGCUAAGCUAUGUAAGGAAACAUCAGAAACUUGGGUCAGCUUACUGCCCAUAGCCCUCUUAAGGACCCAUAAUACCCCUACAGCAAAAAUUAAUAUAAACCCAUAUGAAAUAUUAUGUGGAAGGCCAUUCUUAACUAAUGAUUUAAUUACUGAUCCAGAAACAGUUGGUUUAGUAAAAUACCUAGUCAAUCUAGGACAGUUUCAACAGGCUUUACAAACGUUUGGAAUGCAAAGUCUCCCCACACUGGGAACAAUCAGCAACUUAAAAUCAGGUCAGGAAAUAAGGUACUUCUUAAAACAUGGAAAGAGGGAUCACCUGCUCAACAAUUACAACCCAAACGGAAGGGACUGUUUUCAGUGGCACUGGCCAUGCCUUCUGCAGUGAAAGUACUAGGAUUAGAUAGCUGGAUACAUCUUUCAAGGAUCAAGAGAGUGAUACCAGAAGCCCUGGACCAGGAACCCGAAGUUGCCAUCUGCCUCUACACCUGUGAACCUGUGGAAGACUUCAUGAAGUACCUGUUUAGAAGACAGUCAAAAGAAAAGUAAAUGCCUACCAAUUUUCCUUGGUGUCUUUGUUGCAUAGUUACUAUAGGCUGGAUAAUAGUGCCAUUUUUAAAAAUGUUUUAUUUUUGCAGUUUCAUUGCCUUCUUCCAAAUGGAUGGAAUCACUUCCUUUGUAGUAAUUAAGCAGAAUGUUUUAAUACAUUUCUAUAACAAACAUUCCUGACGGCAUAGGUAUCCACCCCCAAAGUUCCCAUUAAAUCUUUUAACCAAAUUCAUUUCCUGUUGCACAGAGACCAUCAAGCUUCAGAUGAUCAUGUGACAGGGUUUCCAGCCAGUUCCAGGUGAAGACACCACCCCUGGCCAUCAAGAAGUCACCCGGUCUCCACUAGACAGAGUAGGGUGAGAGUUCCGUGAUCUCCAACCGGUAGUGAUUAUGCCCCAAGUCAGCAUAAAGAAGUUACGGAAGAAAAACCAUCAGUCCCUCUGUCUCACAUAAAGACUUAUGGGGAUCACGUUUCUCAGAGGGGAGAUGAGGCAGGAGAAUAGGGUCUGGAGGCAGGGAACCUAAGGCCGUUUCACACUGACUUCUUAGAACUAAAUUGAAAGGAAAACCCUAAUUUUCCAUGCCUAAGUAACAAAAGGACCAGAGGCUACUCCCUUUGCAAACCCCCACCUUUUCUGUGUGGCAUAUGGGAAAUUGAAAGUACCUCUGAUUGAUUGUUUUCUGCAACCAAUCAGAUGUUUGCAUUGGAGUGUAACUUUGUAAUUUCACUUCAGUCUCUGAUUGGUUGCUGCAGUCUGGAAAUUCUGCAGGCCAAGUCUUCGUUUGCAUAGAAGUGCAACUUUGUAACUUCAUCUUAGCCUCUGAUUGGUUGCUUUCUGCAACCAAUCAGAUGUUUGCAUAGGCGUGUGACCUUUGUAACUUCACUUCAGCUUCUGAUUGGUUGCUUUCCACAACCAAUCAGACUGAUUGUGGGCCACCACUUCCUUUACGUGAGGUGAACACCAAGUGGCCAAUGGAAAACCUCAAGAGGGUAUUUGGACCUGAGAAGAUUCUGUAUCUGGGGCCCUUGAGCUGCUGCUCUGCCCACUCUCACAUGGUGGAGUGUAAUUUCACUUUGAAUAAAUCUCUGCUUUUGUUGCUUCAUUCUUUCCUUGCUUUGCUGUGUAUUUUGUCCAAUUCUUUGUUCAAAACGCCAAGAACCUGGACAACUUGCAGUCAAGACCCUCUACCAGUAACACUAGUUGUAUCCCUGUAAAUGAAUGGGCUUUGAAGAUUUUCUAGAAGAAAAAGAUCACCUCAUUGUCCUUCAUUUUUUGACAUAAAACUGUGAUAGCCCAAUAGAUAAAAUGUGAGUUAUCGAUCACCCCUGGAAAGGAUUAGGAUAUGCCACUCCAAAAUAUGCCACGUUUAUUUUGCACUGAAGGCAAUUGAGAAACAGUAGACACAGGAAGAGCUCUCUGCUUUUCCCCUUUUUACCUAAAAGCAGAGAAUAAAUUUCCUUUUGGAAAGAUGACAUACAUUUUCCUUUAUAAAGGUGUUCCCUUCUCCUCUACCAGGAAGAUCUGAGAUGGCACCAAAAUGAAUCUGCCUAACAAACCUUACUGCACAAUUCUUAGCUACCAUACAUUUCAUAGUCACCUUCCCAUAAUUUACUGCCCUUAGGAGCCCAAGUCCCUUUCCUUUGACUAUCACCUCUCCACAAUUUAUUGCCCUUUGUUAAAAUGAUAUAUAAGCUCCUUCAUUUAACUACAUCUUUGGGUUUUCACUUCUUAUCUUUGAUGCUACGAUGCAUGUAAAAAUAUUAAUAAAAUUUGUGUGCUUUUUCUCCUGUUAAUUGUAUGUCUUUUAUCAACUUAAAUUACAGGCCCCAAGUACAUAAUUAAGAGAGUAAAAGGCUGGGCACGGUGGCUGAUGCCUGUAGUCCCAGCACUUUGGGAGGCCAAGGCAGGCAGAUCACAAGGUCAGGAGAUCGAGACCAUCCUGGCUAACAUGGUGAAACCCCGUCUCUACUAAAAAAUAAAAAAAAAUUUAGCCAGGCGUGGUGGCGGGCGCCGGUAGUCUCAGCUACUCGGGAGGCUGAGGCAGGAGAAUGGCGUGAACUCGGGAGGCAGAGCUUGCAGUGAGCGGAGAUCUUGCCACUGCACUCCAGCCUGGGCAACAGAGCAAGGCUCCAUCUCAAAAAAAAAAAAAAAAAAGAGAGAGAGAGAGUAAAAGUUUUUCCUCUCCUACACCUCCUUCCCUGUUAGUCUAAAUACUAUAGCUUGGACAUAAAACUUAUCCUGAACAGUAGGCUUAUAAAUGCAACUAGCGGCCGGAUACAGUGGCUCACACCUGUAAUCCUAGCACUUUGGGAGGCCGAGGCGGGUGGAUCACCUGAGGUCAGGAGUUCAAGACCAGCCUGGCCAACAUGGAGAAACCCUGUCUCUACUAAAAAUACAAAAAUUAGCUGGGCAUGGUGGCACACAUGUGUAAUCCCAGCUACUCAGGAGGCUGAGACUGGAGAAUUGCUUGAACCCAGGAGGCAGAGGUUGCAGUAAGCCAAGAUCACUCCACUGCACUUCAGCCCGGGCAUCAGAGCAAGACUCCAACUCAAAAAUAAAUAAAAUAAAAUAAUUAAAUAAAUGCAACUCAUGGUAGAUUGGAGCCGAGGUAUGAAAAACGUUAAGCUUUAGGAUAAAUAAUGGUUCUCAGGACAUAACUUAGCUAACAUACAAGCUAUUUAUAAGCUAACAUAGAAGUUGCAACCAGAAGGGGGAUUCUUUUGGCCAGCAGAACCUGGAAAAAUGAAAGCCACAGAGGCAAAUACUAAAGUAUCACUCAGGAAAGACAAGAGUGUAGCUCUGUGACAUAGAUGGAUAUAUUCUAAUCAUAAAACUAAUUUUACUUCUUCCAAAUUUAUGCCCACAAACCAACUUUCUGCUUUUUUCUUGUCUCGUAUGCAUUUUUUAACUUAAUAAUCUUUAAACACUUUUAUAAGAGUUUUUAUAUUCUGCAUAGAAACACUUUGUUAGCUAUAUGAAUUGCAAAUAUUGCUUUAUCAAAAGAUUCCUAGAGUCAUGAAAGAAAGCAAACAAAGUGCUAAUAUUGUGGUUCAUUGCUUCACUUAUAAGAUAAAAUGCAUACCAUUUAUCAAUCUAUAAACAAUGUCUCAAUUUGAGGUUGAAUGUUAGAGUUUACCCGGUAAUCUAGUAUUUCUCUAGAAAUGUCAAAAAAAAGGGCAAAAUUAUAUAGUACAGAGGAGUGAGUGGCUGGAGGUUGUCUAGACAAGGUACCCACUGGAUGCCAUUAUCUUGGUGAAAAAGAGAAAGAGAAAAGCAGUCACUGACAUGAGGAGUUGGCCUGGUUCUUACAGAUAGGACUUGGCAUUCUCCUGUCAAAUAUAAGCAAUUUCACAGAACAUGAACAUUAGACAACGCCGUGUUGUGAUGUUGAUGUAGCAAGACGAAAACACUGUAACCCUCUGUAAUCAUGUCUCAACAAUCCACUACAACCCGAAUGUGGUCCAAACCACAAAAUAACCAAACAUCCUCUGUCUUGCCUAAGAGUAGUGACUGCUGCCUCUUUAGCAAUCACAACUUAAGCCUCAGACUAGUCUGCCCUCCUUCUAGAUAAGAGUUAUUAGAUAUCUAAUUUUAAGAAUUACCCCCUGCUUCCUGACAGCAUUUGAUCCAGAGCAAAGCUCCACCUCUUUAAAACGCUCCCCAAACCACAAAACACAAGCUCAAUUCUUAUAAAUUUCUUUCCAAUCCCCUCUUACUGAGAUGUCCCAUCGUUCCUCAUAGUGUGCGUUCUCCCUUGCUGCAACAAGGAAAUAAACCCAACUAUAGUUGUGUUCCUGGUGGUCUUUAGCUGAAGAGCAUUGACACUGCAGAAUCCAGGAGAAUCCAGGACAAUUCAAGAGCUGGAGACAGCUUACUUGUCAGGACACUAAAAAUAGACCUAUCUCUCAAGGGUGAAUUUGUAUUAGCCACAGACACAGAAACUGAUGGAUAAGUAACAUUACUAAUUUGUUAAUUAAUAAAAAUGAAAUAAAGCCCUGGAAGAGUCAGAAAAGACAAAUGUAUAGAGUGAGAAAGUAGAUGAAUGGUUUCCUGAAGGUGGGUGUGGAAAGGGGAAUUAAAUGUUAAAGGGCAUGAGUGGUCUUAUUGGGGU
rnacentral:lncRNA from 1 species